rnacentral:rRNA from 1 species
GACGAACGCUGGCGGCGUGCUUAACACAUGCAAGUCGAACGGAAAGGCCCUGCUUUUGUGGGGUGCUCGAGUGGCGAACGGGUGAGUAACACGUGAGUAACCUGCCCUUGACUUUGGGAUAACUUCAGGAAACUGGGGCUAUACCGGAUAGGAGCUCCUGCUGCAUGGUGGGGGUUGGAAAGUUUCGGCGGUUGGGGAUGGACUCGCGGCUUAUCAGCUUGUUGGUGGGGUAGUGGCUUACCAAGGCUUUGACGGGUAGCCGGCCUGAGAGGGUGACCGGCCACAUUGGGACUGAGAUACGGCCCAGACUCCUACGGGAGGCAGCAGUGGGGAAUAUUGCACAAUGGGCGGAAGCCUGAUGCAGCAACGCCGCGUGCGGGAUGACGGCCUUCGGGUUGUAAACCGCUUUCGCCUGUGGCGAAGCGUGAGUGACGGUAAUGGGUAAAGAAGCACCGGCUAACUACGUG